rnacentral:lncRNA from 10 species
GUAAUUUUUAUGCAAGAACUAUGAGCACUCCAAAGGAGGUUGCUAUGGUUUGGAUAUUUGUGUCUCCCCAAAAUUCAAGUGCUUAACCUAAUGAUCAGUGUGAUAUUAGGAGGUAGGGUGGGAGCUCUGGGACAUGGUUAGAUCAUGAAAGCAAAGCCCUCAUGAAUGGGAUCAGUGUCCUUAUAAAAGAGACCCAGGAGAGCUGCUUUCUUCCUCCCCCCACACAAGGACACAGCAAGAAGGUGCCAUUGUUAACCAGAGAGUGGAUCCUCACCAAACACCAAAUCUGCCAGCACCUCGAUCCUGAACUCCCCAGCCUCCAGGACUGUGCGAGAGAAAUUCCUGUUACUUAUAAGCCACUCAGUCUAUGGAGCUCUCAGUGUGGAGAGAGGGACAGAAUCAUGAUCAGCACCUAAGACAAGACCCAAG